rnacentral:rRNA from 1 species
GACGAACGCUGGCGGCGUGCUUAACACAUGCAAGUCGAACGGAAAGGCCCUGCUUUUGUGGGGUGCUCGAGUGGCGAACGGGUUAGUAACACGUGAGUAACCUGCCCUUUACUUUGGGAUAACUUCAGGAAACUGUGGCUAAUACCGGAUAGGAGCUCCUGCUGCAUGGUGGGUGUUGGAAAGUUUCGGCGGUUGGGGAUGGACUCGCGGCUUAUCAGCUUGUUGGUGGGGUAGUGGCUUACCAAGGCUUUGACGGGUAGCCGGCCUGAGAGGGUGACCGGCAACAUUGGGACUGAGAUACGGCCCAGACUCAUACGGGAGGCAGAAGUGGGGAAUAUUGAAAAAUGGGCGGAAGCCUGAUGCAGAAACGCCGCGUGCGGGAUGACGGCCUUCGGGUUGUAAACCGAUUUCGCCUGUGACGAAGAGUGAGUGACGGUAAUGGGUAAAGAAGCACCGGCUAAAUAAGUG